GUGUUCACCUUGGCAGUACAUAUACUAAAAUUAGAAUGAUACAGAGAUUAGCAUGGCCCCUGUACAAGGAUGACACGUUCAAAAAAUUUAUUAAUAUUA
ensembl:snRNA U6 U6 spliceosomal RNA